UGCGGGUGGGAGGCAAGGUGUUCUCGCAAGCCUCAUAAGCUUGUUUAAGGUGGGUUCGAUUCCCAUACCCGCUUCCAA
rnacentral:tRNA from 1 species